rnacentral:rRNA from 1 species
CCUACGGGAGGCAGCAGUAGGGAAUCUUCCACAAUGGGCGAAAGCCUGAUGGAGCAACGCCGCGUGGGUGAAGAAGGUCUUCGGAUCGUAAAACCCUGUUGUUAGAGAAGAAAGUUCGUGAGAGUAACUGUUCACGUUUCGACGGUAUCUAACCAGACAGCCCCGGCUAACUACGUGCCAGCAGCCGCGGUAAUACGUAGGUGGCAAGCGUUAUCCGGAUUUAUUGGGCGUAAAGGGAACGCAGGCGGUCUUUUAAGUCUGAUGUGAAAGCCUUGGGCUUAACCGGAGUAGUGCAUUGGAAACUGGGAGACUUGAGUGCAGAAGAGGAGAGUGGAACUCCAUGUGUAGCGGUGAAAUGCGUAGAUAUAUGGAAGAACACCAGUGGCGAAAGCGGCUCUCUGGGCUGUAACUGACGCUGAGGUUCGAAAGCGUGGGUAGCAAACAGGAUUAGAUACCCCAGUAGUC